rnacentral:lncRNA from 1 species
GUGGCGGCAGGCAUGCACCUUAAACGUGUUUGCGGACGGCCAUUAUACCAUAAAGAAGAAGAAACAAUGAAGCCAAAGAUUUAUUUUUAAGCGAAUUGAACGCACCCCAAUCGGUGGGGCGAAACAGAAACUGUCAGCUGAAGAAUAGAGGAUGCGUGUUGAACCCACUGCAACUGGACACGGACAUUUAUAAGGCACCCUUUCACCGAUCGAGAACGAAGACGGUGUCGCAAGAGCAGGUUAGUUGAAAAAUCAAUUUCAACGUUUUGUAUAAGCUAACGUUAACCUGUAAUGGAAACAUGGUUAUUACAUAUCUGGCGUACAUAUAGCUUACAUAA